rnacentral:rRNA from 1 species
CCUACGGGUGGCAGCAGUGAGGAAUAUUGGUCAAUGGACGAGAGUCUGAACCAGUCAAGUAGCGUGAAGGAUGACUGCCCUAUGGGUUGUAAACUUCUUUUAUAAAGGAAUAAAACGAGGCACGUGUGCCUUUUUGUAUGUACUUUAUGAAUAAGGAUCGGCUAACUCCGUGCCAGCAGCCGCGGUAAUACGGAGGAUCCGAGCGUUAUCCGGAUUUAUUGGGUUUAAAGGGAGCGUAGAUGGGUUGUUAAGUCAGUUGUGAAAGUUUGCGGCUCAACCGUAAAAUUGCAAUUGAUACUGGCAGUCUUGAGUACAGUUGAGGUAGGCGGAAUUCGUGGUGUAGCGGUGAAAUGCUUAGAUAUCACGAAGAACCCCGAUUGCGAAGGCAGCUUACUAAACUGUGACUGACAUUGAUGCUCGAAAGUGUGGGUAUCAAACAGGAUUAGAUACCCCGGUAGUC